GAUGAAGAACGUAGCGAAAUGCGAUACUUGGUGUGAAUUGCAGAAUCCCGUUAACCAUCGAGUCUUUGAACGCAAGUUGCGCCCGAAGCCUCGGCUAAGGGCACGUCUGCCUGGGCGUCACGCAUCGCGUCUCCCCCAAACCGCCAAGGCGGAGGGGAAGGAAGAUGGCUUCCCGUGCCUCACCCGGGCGCGGUUGGCCUAAAUUUGGAGCCCGCGGCACUUAGCUCUCGCGGCGAUAGGUGGUGAACAAGGCCUUGGCCGUGCAAACAACCCGCUGCGAAGCUCUAUGUCACGUGCGCUCGUCGGACCCUUUGAAGUUGCCUUUGGUGACUUAAAACCUUUGCGACCCCAGGUCAGGCGGGGCUACCCGCUGAAUUUAAGCAUAUCAAUAAGCGGAGGA
rnacentral:misc_RNA from 1 species